rnacentral:tRNA from 1 species
GGUUGUGGCUCAGUGACAGAGCGCUUGCCUAGCAAGUGUGAGGCCCUGGGUUCGAUUCUCAGCACCA